rnacentral:lncRNA from 1 species
UGGGGCUGGCAAACUUCGUCCGCCGGACUCGGAAUGCCGCGAGACUUUGCGAGGGGCCUCUGUGUGCCAAAAAUAGGCCGUGAGUAAAGCCGCGCCCAAAAAUAACCGCCCGAAGGCCGGGGCGCCAAGUUCGUCCAGCGGAAAAAGGCCACAAAAAAGGUGGGCUAUAGCCUUAAGGGGUGGGGCUGGCCAACUUCGUCCGCCGGACUCGGAAUGCCGCGAGACUUUGCGAGGGGCCUUCGUGUGCCCAAAAUAGGCCGCGGGUAAAGCCGCGCCAAAAAAUAACCGCCCGAAGGCCGGGGCGCCAAGUUCGUCCAGCUGAAAAAGGCCACAAAAACAGGUGGGCUAUAGCCUUGGGGGGUGGGGUUGGCCCACUUCGUCCGCCGGACUCGGAAUGCCGCGAGACUUUGCGAGAUGCCUCCGUGUGCGAAAAAUAGGCCGCGGGCAAAGCCGCGCCGAAAAAUAACCACCCGAAGGCCGGGGCGCCAAGUUCGUCCAGCGGAAAAAGGCCACAAAAACGGGUGGGCUAUAUACCUUUGGGGGGUGGGUCUGGCCAACUUCUUCCGCGGGUAUCAGAAUGCCGCGAGACUUUUCGAGGGUUCUCCGUGUGCAAAAAAUAGGCCGUGAGGAAUGCCGCGCCCAAAAAUAACCGCCCGAAGGCCGGGGCGCCAAGUUCGUCCAGCUGAAAAAGGCCACAAAAACGGGUGGGCUAUAGCCUUCGGGGGUGGGGCUGGCCAACUUCGUCCGCCGGACUCGGAAUGCCGCGAGACUUUGCGAGGGGCCUCCGUGUGCCAAAAAUAGGCCGCGGGCAAAGCCGCUCCCGAAAAUAACCGCCCGAAGGCCGGGGCGCCAAGUUCGUCCAGCGGAAAAAGGCCACAAAAAAGGGUGGGCUAUAGCCUUGAGGGGUGGGGCUGGCCAACUUCGUCCGCCGGACUCGGAAUGCCGCGAGACUUUGCGAGGGGCCUUCGUGUGCCAAAAAUAGGCCGCGGGUAAAGCCGCGCCCAAAAAUAACCGCCCGAAGGCCGGGGCGCCAAGUUCGUCCAGCUGAAAAAGGCCACAAAAACAGGUGGGCUAUAGCCUUGGGGGGUGGGGUUGGCCCACUUCGUCCGCCGGACUCGGAAUGCCGCGAGACUUUGCGAGGGGCUUCCGUGUGCCAAAAAUAGGCCACGGGCAAAGCCGCACCCAUAAA